GACGAACGCUGGCGGCGUGCUUAACACAUGCAAGUCGAACGGAAAGGCCCUGCUUUUGUGGGGUGCUCGAGUGGCGAACGGGUGAGUAACACGUGAGUAACCUGCCCUUGACUUUGGGAUAACUUCAGGAAACUGGGGCUAAUACCGGAUAGGAGCUCCUGCUGCAUGGUGGGGGUUGGAAAGUUUCGGCGGUUGGGGAUGGACUCGCGGCUUAUCAGCUUGUUGGUGGGGUAGUGGCUUACCAAGGCUUUGACGGGUAGCCGGCCUGAGAGGGUGACCGGCCACAUUGGGACUGAGAUACGGCCCAGACUCCUACGGGAGGGAGCAGGGGGGAAUAUUGCACAAGGGGCGGAAGCCUGAUGCAGCAACGCCGCGUGCGGGAUGACGGCCUUCGGGUUGUAAACCGCUUUCGCCUGUGACGAAGCGUGAGUGACGGUAAUGGGUAAAGAAGCACCGGCUAACUACGUG
rnacentral:rRNA from 1 species